rnacentral:lncRNA from 1 species
AUGUCACGCCCCAGGGUCCCUUUUUAGUUUAAAGCAUAGCGGAAAAGCGUCUGAAUUUUUUUUUUUUUUUUUUUUUUGAAAAUCUGACCCCAGGGUAUGCCAGAUCCGCCACAAAUACAGGAGAUCCACUGUUCACACGGACAGAGUCUCCCCUGUAUUUGCACGGCGUCGCACAAGUACAAGAGUUCAACAUGAUACAACCACAACCAGAUGAACAUACAAAUAACCACAGUUAUAUAUUCAUACACAAUUCACCACAGAUUCACAUUUUUCCAUUCAAUAUUUAAACAUAAAUUCACAUCUAUCAGUUAGAAUAUUUCCAAUCACAGAAACAGGUUUUGAAAUACUAAGAUACAAAAUCACAGAAAAUCCUUUGAAAACUGUUCCCUACACGGAAACUUUUAUCUUUUUAAAAUGCUACCACGAGGGGUAGAAAACCAUUUUUAUAUCAAGAAAAUACAAAUCUUUUAUUACAUUUCAAAACCAACUGAAAACUCAGAUAAUAACAUAAAACUGAACCAUGUAAACCGACUAAGCUAUAAAUCAACAGAAAUAAUAUGGGUAAUAACUAAAUCAAAAUAACCUGGGUCGGAAGCUCUAUCGACCGCUACACACGUACCUCACGUCUCGUCCCACUAAUCAUCGCCCGCGAUACCUGAAAAAUGGUGGGGGAGGUAAGAACAUGUAAACAUGUCUCCCCUCCCAGUGGGUACCGCAAGCCGAAGAAGGCGAGGAGUACUCACCGGAUCAGGAAGAGCUAUACAACAACACGGGUCAGUGGAUAUACAGUAGGAACGAUAGUAAACAAAAGAGAUGUAUAAGGUAAUGAGCAGAUAUACUAAAUACAGUAGCAAUAAACUGAAAGAAAGUAAGAACUAGACUGAAUAACGGCUACCGCUACUGUAACUGGAACCGAAAGCAUACAUGAAUAUCUACUAUAGC